UACAGGGGGGGCAAGCGUUGUUCGGAAUUACUGGGCGUAAAGGGCUCGUAGGUGGCCAAUUAAGUCAGACGUGAAAUCCCUCAGCUUAACUGGGGAACUGCGUCUGAUACUGGAUGGCUUGAGUUUGGGAGAGGGAUGCGGAAUUCCAGGUGUAGCGGUGAAAUGCGUAGAUAUCUGGAGGAACACCGGUGGCGAAGGCGGCAUCCUGGACCAACACUGACACUGAGGAGCGAAAGCCAGGGGAGCAAACGGG
rnacentral:rRNA from 1 species